CAGCGGCUGCAGGGGUCGGUGGGGCCCUUUUGUUCCUGCUCCUGCUCGUGGGUGUCAUUGUGGCCUGGCACUGGUGGCACCGCCUGGCUGCCAGGAAGAACCAGGAAAGGGACCCCCCGGAUUCCCCGGACCCCCCAGAGGAGGGGCAGGUGCUGUACACCCACGUCGUGGUCACCAAGAGGGCAGGGGG